rnacentral:rRNA from 1 species
UACGUAGGGUGCAAGCGUUGUCCGGAAUCAUUGGGCGUAAAGCGCGCGUAGGUGGCCAUUUAAGUCCGCUGUGAAAGUCAAAGGCUCAACCUUUGAAAGCCGGUGGAUACUGGAUGGCUAGAGUACGGAAGAGGCGAGUGGAAUUCCUGGUGUAGCGGUGGAAUGCGCAGAUAUCAGGAGGAACACCGGUGGCGAAGGCGGGUCUCUGGGCCGAUACUGACGCUGAGGAGCGAAAGCGUGGGGAGCAAACAGG